CCAGAGAACUUAGCAGAGAUGCUUUGGUGCCUUCGGGAACUCUGAGACAGGUGCUGCAUGGCUGUCGUCAGCUCGUGUUGUGAAAUGUUGGGUUAAGUCCCGCAACGAGCGCAACCCUUAUCCUUUGUUGCCAGCGGCUCGGCCGGGAACUCAAAGGAGACUGCCGGUGAUAAACCGGAGGAAGGUGGGGAUGACGUCAAGUCAUCAUGGCCCUUACGGCCAGGGCUACACACGUGCUACAAUGGCGCAUACAAAGAGAAGCGACCUCGCGAGAGCAAGCGGACCUCAUAAAGUGCGUCGUAGUCCGGAUUGGAGUCUGCAACUCGACUCCAUGAAGUCGGAAUCGCUAGUAAUCGUAGAUCAGAAUGCUACGGUCGAAUACGUUCCCGGGCCUUGUACACACCGCCCGUCACACCAUGGGAGUGGGUUGCAAAAGAAGUAGGUAGCUUAACCUUCGGGAGGGCGCUUACCACUUUGUGAUUCAUGACUGGGGUGAAGUCGUAACAAGGUAGGCGUAGUGCU
rnacentral:rRNA from 1 species